GACGAACGCUGGCGGCGUGCUUAACACAUGCAAGUCGAACGGAAAGGCCCUGCUUUUGUGGGGUGCUCGAGUGGCGAACGGGUGAGUAACACGUGAGUAACCUGCCCUUGACUUUGGGAUAAUUUAAGGAAACUGGGGCUAAUACCGGAUAGGAUCUCCUGCUGCAUGGUGGGGGUUGGAAAGUUUCGGCGGUUGGGGCUGGACUGGGGGCUUAUCAGCCUGUUGGUGGGGUUGGGGCUUACCAAGGCUUUGAGGGGUAGCCGGCCUGAGAGGGUGACCGGCCACGUUGGGACUGAGAUACGGCCCAGACGCGUACGGGAGGCAACAGUGGGGAAUAUUGCGCAAUGGGGGGGAGCCUGAUGCAGCAGCGCCGCGUGCGGGAUGACGGCCUUCGGGUUGUAAACCGCUUUCGCCUGUGACGAAGCGUGGGUGACGGUAAUGGGUAAAGAAGCACCGGCUAACUACGUG
rnacentral:rRNA from 1 species